GGGGUUGUGGCUCAGUGGUAGAGCGAGCACUUGCAUGUGCAAGGCACUGGGUUUGAUCCCCAGCACCACA
rnacentral:tRNA from 1 species